UCAAUUCAUAUCUGACAAAUCAAAUCAUGCUGCCAUCCACAAACAAAUUGCAAGGCCUAGUGAGUUAGUGACUUACAAGAAUAUUUUUACUUUCACAGAGAUAUUUCAUUAAUGAUGCCUUCUACAAACCUGGAGGACCAGUAUUUCUGAGGAUUGGAGGGUCGAGGACUGUCUAUGAAUCCUGGAUAUCAAUAAAUAAUACCUGGGUUACAUAUGCUGAGAGAGUGGGUGCCCUCUUAUUACUUCUGGAACACAGGUUUUAUGGACACAGCCAACCAACAGGAGAUCUGAGUACUCCCAGCCUCCAUUACCUCAGCAGCAGGCAAGCCUUGGCUGACAUUGCGAACUUCCGAACUCAAAUAGCAGAAAAAAUGGGACUCACCGAAAAUAAGUGGGUUGCAUUUGGGUGCUCUUAUGCUGGCUCCCUUGCAGUGUGGUCAAGAAUAAAACACCCUGAAUUGUUUGCUGCAGCAGUGGGCAGCAGUGCACCGAUCAAAGCAAAAGCUAAUUUUUAUGAGUACCUUGAAGUUGUUCAAAGAUCUCUGGCCACUCAUAACAGAAAAUGUUUUCAAGCAGUGAAAGAG